rnacentral:lncRNA from 1 species
ACAAUGGGCGCGGCGCCCGAGCCCCUGACAGCGCCAUAAAUUGGCCGUGCAAAGCUGAGCGCUUGGUGGUCCCCGGGAGGAAAGAGCCGCCGCCGGCAGCGCGAAAAGACGAGUCCGGGAGCCCGCCAGGGAGCCAGUGGUGUUUUUUCCAGAUCACCUUGUUGGAACUUAGAGUAGCAGAGGUCAGACGAGAAGGACAAUAGCGGGGUCCAAGGGUGAACUCCGGCGGGGGGGCGCUGAACCCGGGCUCCCAGGUCGAGCAGAAUGAAUGGGGUGGGCGCUGAAGUCGGGGGGCCCACAGGGGCCCCGGAGUCCGAAGGUCGCGGGCCGGCCUGGCCCAGAAAGCCCCCUUCCCCCCUCCAUCCCAGAGAAAGGAAUGGCCCACACUGAAGAAGACGUUUCUGCUGCUCACAAAGGGCUUUCUUUUUUUUCCUUUUUGGUUUUUUUCUUUCUUUUUUGAAAGAUAUUUUAGCACAGAUCUUACCAGAUGAGGACAAGAUAAGAAAAUCACUAGAUGUGGGCUCUUUUUUUUUUUUUUCACGGAAGAUAUACAUAUAAUGCAAAGUACCUUUUGAAGUGGUUUUUUUUUAAUCAAAAGUUUUCUAAGAAAAAGAAAAUAACUUCUGUUCAAUCUCAGAGAAAUAAAUGGCAUAAGGAUGCUCUUUCUGGUUUUUAUUUAGCGUCAGUAUGGGUUUUUUUCUUUUUAAUCUCUCCAAGGAACAGAUAGAGAAAAAACAGAAGGAUGGGGAAGCUUAUAUUAGGAUUAAGUGAGCUUUUAACUUGAAAACAUGAAUUUAAAAAAAAAAAUGUUUGCCAAACUAACAUCAACAAAUGUGGCCAGAUAUCUGGUUUUAAUGGGAUGAUUCAGGAGUUUCGGUCUUUUGUGGGCCUUGGGCUGCCAAAAUCCUGCACCAAUCAUGACAUCCCCAAACUCAAAAAUUUCAAUUAAACAAACCCACGAUUGCUAGACAGGGUACCCUAACUAUUUACGUCUGAAGUUGUGUUUGCACGCGCUGUGCUUGUCGAGGUUUCCCUCUUUUUCUUCCUUCUUUUUGAAGAUGAGACUAUGACCCUUUGGGAGACCAAGGGUCAGUUGAGGACCCAGCAGGCAAUGACCUGUACUUUAACUGUAUCCUGAGUGAGAAGGCAUCUGGCCCAGCACUUCGUGGCCCCACCGUCCCCCCCCUCCAACCCUGCCUGCCACAGCCCCCAUCUUCCUUCUUUAAAAGUCUAACUCACAUCCCAGAAGGGAUUGUGCAAGGCCCAAGCUAUGCUGCUAGAUAGAUAGAUAGAUAGAUAGAUAGAUAGAUAGAUAGAUGAUAGAUAAAAUAAUGAGUGUGCAAAAACUGCAAUCCCAAGUCUCCCUUGAGCCAGGACCCAUGGGUUGCUGCUGCCCCAGGGCAGGGUGAGGGAGGCCCAGUGUCAGAGCCUCCCCUGCACACAGCUGCAGGCACCCCUCUCAGAGACUAGAAAUGGAGAGGAGAAGCAGGAGUGUUAUCUGAGCCACCUGCCCCGCCCCCAACCCCCCACCCCGCACCCCAGAAUCCAGGAAGCCCACUGGGAACAGCAUCUCUCAGCCUCCCUGCCUCCAUGAGUCGAGAGGGGGUGUGGCCACCCCAAACUGGAGGUGGUGGGUAGAAAGGCAGAGAGGAGAUGGGGUGACAGCAAGAGAGAAGGUAGUUACACUUUUGUAUAAAAGCCACCUUUGGUUCGAUUGACUGAUACUCCGCUUUAUUAUUCUCUGAAACCUAAAGCCUAAACUUGCCUAAAAGGGGGUGAGUUUUUCUUCUUACCUAAUUUUUCCUGAUAUAGGAGGAGCACUGUGGAAGAAGGAGAAAGGAAGGGUAGGUCCGAGUAGCCUCUCCAGGAAGCACUGUGACCCGACAUUCUUCAUACAGAACCACAGAAUUAGAUAAAUAUGUAUUGAAGUGUUAUUCCUGAAAGUUUGAAAAGGAAAACUUACUUCUAAGGUAAAUCGGAUUGAGUUUCCCUCUUAAUCGGAUUACCCUGGAAACCAUGGCUUGCUUCCUGAGGGUGGCUAAUAAUUGAUAACUUCUUGGGGCAGAGAGUUACUGAAAAACCAUUUGGAGGCAAAAACCAAAAUGUAUGUUCUAAAUUAGGGGCCUAAAUUAAGUUGGACAACAAUUUUGUUUACAUUCUUCAGGUGCUUUCCAAAGAUGCCUUUUAAAAUCACAUUUUCUCAUAAUUUAUCUAGAAAGAGAAGCCAGAAGCAUUAUCUUUCCAACUGUGGAGAAACUAGUCCCAAACAGUAUUCCAAAUAAGACAAACACAAAUUUUCUUUGAAAUAGACAGCGGGCUCUGGGGGAAUGGGAGAUGGUCAUUUCUAAGUUACAGCCCGCUGUUCUUUAUGAAUACAAUACUGAUUCUCAGAAGCACACCCAAGUGAAGAAUCCCCUACCUGUUCCCAGAAUCUUGUGUUGAAAACAGUACUAAAUCUACACUUUAGCAGGACAUUGCAAAGAGUUCUAUUCCAUGAGACCUGAAGCUGAAAAAUCUUUGUCCACUAACGGUGUGCUGUUUUUGAAACUUUUAUGGUGUUGCUCUUACCUGGAGUGGUGAAAAAAAAAAGGUUGAAUGGAAAAUAAACCGGAGGGGAUAAGCUGAACUUCUGGAUUCUUCAACGAUUCCAUUCGGUUGUUGCAUGGAAAAAUCUUGAAUGAUUUCUCCAUUUCCCACCUACCUCCAGGUUCCUGAAAUAAUACAUGUAAAAAGAGAAAGACCAAAUGGACUAAGAGAGAUUAUUAUUCCAACCCUGUAUUAUAAGCAUGUCACGUGUUCGUAAAGAAUUGUUCAUCUGGUGAAGGAAUAAUAAAACGUGACACGUGGAAGAAAGGAAACACAGCCAAGAGGCCCUGUUGCUGAGUGUUCUGAACAACAGACAACCUCUAAGGAUCCUCGCCUAUAAUCCUGGCUCUGCCUUCAAUUCACAGUAUGCCUUUGG